GAUAGCUCGGCCGUAUAGCAGUCUGCCUUGUUGAGCCUUUAAUGUUGUCUUCGGGGGUUUGUAUUCAGCGGUGGCUAAUGCAGUUAGUCCCAGCAGUUUAGAGGCAGUUUGGUAGUAAAUUCACAGUCACUCCGAGGCAUAACAGCUGCCGAUUGUUCCUUAUUUUUGUGACCCCUUCUGCUUUGGUCCACAUCAAGACUUGUUUUUCACCCUCUUGCUUACCCAUCAUAACGUGCUGCUGCUGCUGCUGCAUAUCCAGUGGGUAGAUUAAGCCGAGCUGUAUCCACACAAUGUCUCUCCACUCUAGUGUGUCAUGGCCCGUCUUGCCUUGCUUGUGCUGAUGAAACUAGUUUGGAUGGAAGCAUUAUCAGAUUUAGAGAGCUAAUUUGCUGCAGCGGCAAAAGGACCGUUCAUCCUGUUCAAGGGAUGCUUUUUUCACUUUGGUGGUGCUCCGUAUUUUUUAUUUUAUUUUUUUUUUAGCCCUUGAAACAUUGCAUCAGUGCUGAGCUGUAAGACUUUUAAAUUGAUCUCUGCUUAAAUAAUCUCUUUCAAAUUCAUGAAUUCACAUCGAGCAAUCCCCUCUUCUGAGCAUUCAUCACUUUCAAUAAACCCCCGAGAAGCUGUCAUUAUGCCUCCACCUCCUCAUCGUGCUCUAAACUGCUGUUCAAGGGCUGCAAUUUGGAAAUGUGAUUUAAAUAUUGCUUGAAAUGGAUAGCUCGUAUUUACCUAAGCCCCCCCCCCCUUCACGGUGCCAGAGUCUGUCAUGCGAUGAAAGCCAGAGGAUGUCAACUGCACUUCCUGUGCAUGAGUUGUAGACAUUAAUUGCUGCUAGCACAAAGUUUAGCCCCGACCUUUCCAGAUCACAAGGCAAACAGAAUUCUCUGUGGGCCUGCUUUUCCGCACGCUUUUGUCACUCCUUCUUCAUGGCUGGAUUUCUCCGAGAUGAGAAAGGAUUGUCUUUGCUUACACUUUUAAUCGGCUAUAGAGCGCUGAAAUACUCCAGCUGGAAUGAGAAGGAGAUAAAGGCCUUCU
ensembl:lncRNA